CCUACGGGUGGCAGCAGUGAGGAAUAUUGGUCAAUGGGCGAGAGCCUGAACCAGUCAAGUCGCGUGAGGGAGUACUGCCCUAUGGGUUGUAAACCUCUUUUGUCAGGGAGCAAAGGGCGCCACGUGUGGCGUUUUGCGAGUACCCGGAGAAAAAGCAUCGGCUAACUCCGUGCCAGCAGCCGCGGUAAUACGGAGGAUGCGAGCGUUAUCCGGAUUUAUUGGGUUUAAAGGGUGCGUAGGCGGGCAUUUAAGCCGGCGGUCAAAUGUCGGGGCUCAACCCCGGCCUGCCGUCGGAACUGGGUGCCUUGAGUGGGCGAGAAGUAUGCGGAAUGCGUGGUGUAGCGGUGAAAUGCAUAGAUAUCACGCAGAACCCCGAUUGCGAAGGCAGCAUACCGGCGCCCUACUGACGCUGAGGCACGAAAGUGCGGGUAUCGAACAGGAUUAGAUACCCCUGUAGUC
rnacentral:rRNA from 1 species